rnacentral:tRNA from 1 species
ACUUGGUUGGCUCAGUCAGUAGAGCAUGUGACUCUUGAUCUCAAGGUUAUGAGUUUGAGCUCCACACUGGGUG